UGACUCAAUUUAUGCAUUUCGUCCCUCAUCACAUUAACAUCCAUCACCUCUACCUCUUUUUCCGAGUCCGCAAUACUGGUAUCAGAUUGAUGGCCUGUCAUUGUAUGUUUUUUUAUCGGGUGUUAUAGGAAUGGUUUGCUAGAAUGCCAAACAACUAACCACCUGCCUGGACUCAACAUCAACAACAACUUGGUUAAUGGUUAGGGCAUGAGCAUAUUUGAUAACCGUACGUUGGGGAAUGAAUGUACCUAAGCAGUUAACGGAUUCUAUUAUGCAUUUGCUCGACUUGUUGCAUCAUCCCAGCUUUUAUUUCCAACGACAACUUUCUUUCUUUUUGUUUCUCUUUUUUUCUUCUCUUGCUUUUUCUUUCUUUUCUUUGUUUCCUUUCCAAUUCUUGACUUUGUUUUCUGUUUGUUUCGGUUCUUG
rnacentral:lncRNA from 1 species